UACGUAGGCAGCGAGCGUUUGUUCGGAAUUACUGGGCGUAAAGAGUGUGUAGGCGGUGCUCCCAGUCUGUUGUGAAAUCUCCCGGCUUAACUGGGAGGGUGCAGCGGAAACUAGAGUGCUAGAGUGUGGUAGGGGAGACUGGAAUUCCUGGUGUAGCGGUGAAAUGCGCAGAUAUCGGGAGGAACACCGGUGGCGAAGGCGGUUCUCUGGGCCUUACCUGACGCUGAGGAGCGAAAGCGUGGGGAGCGAACAGG
rnacentral:rRNA from 1 species